rnacentral:rRNA from 1 species
AGGAUGAACGCUGGCGGCGUGCCUAACACAUGCAAGUCGAACGUCCUGUCUCGCAAGAGGCAGGGAGUGGCGGACGGGUGAGUACCACGUGGGUCAUCUACCGUGAGGUGAGGAAUACCGGCGAGAAAUCGCCGACAAGACCGCAUAGGCUCGAUGCAAGUCGAGCAAAGCUCUUUCGAGAGAGGGAGCGCCACACGAGGAGCCUGCGCCCGAUUAGCUAGCUGGUGGAGUAACGGUUCACCAGGGCGACGAUCGGUAGCUGGUCUGAGAGGACGAUCAGCCACACUGGGAUUGAGAACGGCCCAGACUCCUACGGGGGGCAGCAGUGAGGAAUUUUCGUCAAUGGGGGCAACCCUGAACGAGCAACGCCGCGUGCAGGAAGAAGGUUUUCGGAUCGUAAACUGCUUUUCUCGGGGUAAGAGAACGGACGGUACCCGAGGAAUCAGCCCCGGCUAACUACGCGCCAGCAGCCGCGGU